GUAAUACUCCAUAGUUCGUGCUGACUGGAAUGUUAUGCGAACGAAAGAUCCGUCGCUUCAGGAUGAGUCUGCGGCCGAUUAGGUAGUUGUUGGGGUAACGGCCCAACAAGCCUGUCAUCGGUACGGGUUGUGGGAGCAAGAGCCCGGAGAUGGAUUCUGAGACACGAAUCCAGGCCCUACGGGGCGCAGCAGGCGCGAAAACUUUACCAUGCGGGCAACCGUGAUAAGGAAACCCCGAGUGCCAGCACAGGCUGGCUGUCCGCCAGUGUAAAUAACUGGUGAAGAAAGGGCCGGGCAAGACCGGUGCCAGCCGCCGCGGUAAUACCGGCGGCUCGAGUGGUGGCCACUAUUACUGGGCUUAAAGGGUCCGUAGCUUGAUAUGCAAGUCUCUUGAGAAAUCCGCCAGCUUAACUGGUGGGCGUUCAGGGGAAACUGCAUUUCUAGGGACCGGGAGAGGUGAGAGGUACUGCCGGGGUAGGAGUGAAAUCCUGUAAUCCCGGUGGGACCACCUAUGGCGAAGGCAUCUCACCAGAACGGGUCCGACAGUGAGGGACGAAAGCUGGGGGAGCAAACCGGAUUAGAUACCCGGGUAGUCCCAGCUGUAAACGAUGCGCGUUAGGUGUGUCAGUGACCACGUGUCACUGAGGUGCCGAAGGGAAACCGUGAAACGCGCCGCCUGGGGAGUACGGUCGCAAGGCUGAAACUUAAAGGAAUUGGCGGGGGAG
rnacentral:rRNA from 1 species